AACUAGUUAAAUCAAUAAAAGUGGUCCAAACUGUUGGUAAAAAAACUGUUGAAAUCAAUAAUAAAUAAACAAUUAGAACUUUCCGAGAUUGAUGAUCUCAAACUCUCAAUCACGUCGCGGAACAAAAUCUAUUGCCUUAGAAGCGAAAUACGCCACCAACCGGUACAAGUUUUCUAAUGACGCACACCCUUCAAGUUUAACGCAACUUUCCUCGUAAUUCGUGCACCUAAGCCCGAAAAAAUGGAAGUACUCAAGAACGGUUCAGAUCUCAAAAGGUAGGUUUGUGUUUGAGUGUUUAGGGUAUUUCAAUAAUGAAAAUAACGUAUGAUGGAAAUAAUAGCCAAGGAGUAGUAUUUAUAGGAGUAAUAAGAAAAGGAAAUAAGCAGCACAAGCCUCACGCAAGGCCCAUACCCACGGCAGGGCUGGUGAACUAUCGCUCUCUAGCGAGUGAGCUAUCGCUCAGCCUUGCCGUAGACUUCAUGAGCUGCGAGCUAUAGCUCACUCGCUGGUGAGCUCUCGCUCAGAAUGCAGCAAGAGUCUGCCAGCAGUAGGCUCUCGCUCGGACCUGCUGCAGGCCAUUGCGGGCAUCCGAGCUCUAGCUCUCUUGCUAGCUCGGUCUUGCACGGCUCACCAACUUGCAUGCUACAUCUUUCUCUCGUUAGCUCCUUGCGCACUCACUUGGUAAAACUCCGAUUUGCAUUACUAGAAAUGCAAAAACUCCAAUACAAACUUGUAUUUGCUCACAUCCUGAUUUGUGACCAAAGUAGGUUUAAUUAGGAAGCCAAAGGAAGUUGGCAAAAACUUCGCUUAUUAACUUUCCAAUGUGUUACUCCUACAACUCUACAACUCUUAAGAAUUUUGAAAGAAAGAAAGAAAGAAUUAAAAGCAUACACUUGUAUCAUUGUAUGUUGUACUAGUAUAUGGUUAGAAACUUAGAAGUUAAAACUAUAGAUUUAUUUACCAAAAAUUAUCAGAAAUUCAUUUUCCAUGAAUUAGACAUAAAUAAAUAAAUAGAGGGAGAUGGAAAACGAGUGGAUUGCACAUCUGGCCAACUUUGACCUGCAAAUUGCUAAAGUUGUUUUUAUAAAAUUUUUAAAUAAUAUUGUUUGGUUGGUUGAGCGAAUGAUGUAUAGUUUUGUGGCUUCUACCUCCCUUAAAAACUCCAAUCUGGAUGCCAAGCUACACGCCUCCCAAUACCGGCCUUCUAUUUAUUAUUUAUUUUUUAUUUUUUAUUUCAUUUUUCAUUCAACUUUCAAAUUUGGCAUUGGUUAAUUAUCCUUAUUGGGCAAUUUUUUUAGGAAAAUUUAAGAGGAGUAAUUCAACUUUUUAUCCGUUCUCCCAUAUUAAUCCCACAUUUUGAUUAUUCCUCAUUAAUUCAACCUUUGCCCCCCAUCUUCCCAUAUCACACCUUGCAGGUCACCUUACCCUUUCAACUGGUUACCCAUCCACGUGGCACUUCCUAAUUGGUCAAUUUUUUAUUUUUUAUUUUAAAAAAUAUAUUUAAUUAAAAAUAAUAAAAAAUGAAAAAAAAAAAUCUCUAAACUCCUUCCCCUUUUUCCUUCCCUAACCUUUCUCACUCUUCUUCCUCUUCAGAUUACAACCACCGUCACCCCGCCCCCACGCCGCCCCGUCGUUAACCCUCUUAUUACCUCGCGUCUACACCCAACCCACCCCUUCUCGUUAUUGUCGCUGAUACGUCCUCUCUUUUUCUUCUCUUUUUGUUUCAUUUUAUCACCACCAUUAAAGUUUUCAAGUGUGAGGUUUUGAUGGUUAAAUUUAACCAUGAUAACUCUAGAUAUAGUGUUUUCAAGGUUAAAUUUAACUAAAUAAAACCAUAGUUGAAGUUUUUAAAGGUAAGUGUGGGGUUUUUCGGGGUGGUUUGGGUUUUAAAUUUGUGUGUGAUUUGGAGUUUGCAGUGGUUGUGUUGUGGUUCGUGCCAUCAUGGUUAGUGAGGUGGUGAGGUUCGUGGUGUUGAUAGGUUUUGGUGGGCGUGGGUUAUAGUUUGUGGUGGUUGUGGUUCGUGGCAGGUAGGGAUGGUAUGGGUUAGAGUUUUGGUGGUGGUUGCUGUCGGUCAAUGGGGGUUUGUGCGGCGACAGGGAAUGGUGAAUCUGGUGAUGGUGUGUUGAGGUUGGUGGGUAAGGAAGGGGAAGGGAGGUGAGGUGUUAAACUGAUAAUGGAAAGGAGAUGAGAGAGAAUGAAGCUAAAGAGAAUGGUUGGUGGUGGUGGGUUGAUGGUUUCGGCUAGGUCAGGUUAGUGGUUUUGAGUCGAGGUAGGAGUGCGGGAAGGGUUUCCGGUCUGGGUUUGGGUAAGUGGGUUAAGUGGUAGAGGAGGUGGUGGUGGUGGCUAAGUUGCGGGUGAUUGCAAGAGGGUGGCACGUGGCUGGCUAGCUGGUUGACAGGGAAAGGAGGGAGUAGUGGGACGACUUGUUUGACGGGGAAAUAGGGUAGGUUGACGGUGAAGUGAGGUGGUGGCGGGAAGGUGUAGUUGUGGUUGUUUUGGUGCUAGUGGUGGCCAAAGGUGUAGUGGUGGUUGUUUUUGGUGUAAGGUGAUCAAGGGUGGUGAACGGAGGUGGAGCUUUGGGUGGUGAACGGAGGUGGAGCUUUGGGUGGUGGUAAUGGAGGAGGAUGAUGGAAAAUGGUAAGAGGAAGGAGAGGGAAAGGGAUGACCUGUUGUUUUGGUAACUGGUCAUUUGGGUUCAUUUUGGGAAGAAGGGGGGGUAAAGGUUGGAUUAAUGAGAAAUAAUCAAAAGGUGGGAUUAAUAUGGGAGAACGGACAAAAGGUCCUGCUUUUUCGAGCUUCUAGAUAGGGCAGAGCAGAGCAAAUUUUAGCAGAGCAGAGUUGAUUUCUGCAGAAAUAAGCAGGCAGAACAGAGUAGAACAGUUUAAAAGAACAGGGCCUUAGUAUUGUAUAUAUGUAUUAGUUAAAAAAUUAUUGUAUACAUGUAUUUGUUCAAUAAUUAUUGUAUACAUGUACCAAUAAAAGUGUUGGCUCACUUGAUAAGUUUCUUACUUCUAA